UUCCGUUUCUCCUCUUACGUUCGUCAAGCCUCUCGUACGACCCCUCCCGCACCGAUUUUUUUCCUCCCGUUCCGACCCACCUAUCGUCCCACUAGAUUUCCUUUCCCCCCCUACCGGUUUUCUCCUUCACAGUUUUCUCCCUCCUCUGGCUUGCAUCUCACGCCGGCGUCCAGCGCCACCGAUGCCGAUCUCCAGCCUUUGUCCGGCCCAUGGAUCCCGAUGUGGAGCUCCACUGCGGCCCGAUCUGACGUGGGAGCGGCCAGAUCCGUGCGUCUCCGCCUCGCUCCGCGCGCCUCCAUGGUCCGCCGUCUUCUCGAGCGCCGGUGCCGCGCUCAGCCGCCGCCGCCCCAUGCCAUGGUUGCCUCCCUCCAGAACGACCUGCCAUGACCGCCUCCCUGCCUCUCCCGCAAGUGGGCCUCUGCACGACCAGAUCCGUUCCUCUGCGCCUCGCUCCGCACGCCAUGAUGGUCCUCCGUCUUCCCGAGCGCCGGCGCCGUGCGCAGCCGCCGCCGCCCCAUGCCAUGGUCGCCUUCCUCCAGAACGCCGUGCCAUGGCCGCCUCCCUGCCUCUCCCGCAAGUGGGCCUCUGCGCCCCCGGCCUAGCAGAUUAAUGGAGGGCGCUGCCGACGUCGGGACAUGCCUCGGUUCACCUGCUUCCUGAUGUCCAAUUAUUUUUUGUUGUUGCUAUAUUCAACCUCAUCUCUGAAAGCCUACACCUUCCUGUGCUGUUGCUAUAUUCACAAGUUUGACAGGAGAAGGGACUGGAGGCAUACAGUAGGCAGAACAGUGGAACAAAACUCAGCUUCAAUUAAUCGACAUGGUGUUCGCAAAUGGAAAGUCGAGUUGGUGGACACAAUGGACAAUAAGCCCAUGAAGCUCCAGAAGUCCAGAUUUGGAUACGUCUUGGAUGUGACUAAUUGUAUGACAUGCCGAUAUCUGGCGAGCUUGGUGUGUUCUGUUUUCUCACACCCACCGCUGUCGCACAAGGUGAUUGUUGGACGUGAGCGAGCUUCAGGAGCACUUCCUACAGGCUGUCGGCCGUUCACAAGUACUUCCUUUCAAGCCGAAUGGGCUCUUUAGUAAGAUGCAUCAUCUUUUUUGAAUGGAACAAGAUUGACCAUAUUGUUUGAAGUGAAAAAGAUUCAUUAUGAUCUACCCAUUACUUGAUUUGAAGUUUUCAACUGCUAGAUGUAGGAGGAGGCAGUAGUGGCUGGAAUCUUGGUGCUAAAUGACACAUACUGUCCUCACCCGAUUUCUAAGAGGAAAAAAAAACCAAAGAACAAAUACUCAUUCAAACAUUUUUUUGAUUCAGUGCUCCAUGAGCAUUUUAUCUAUCAUUUGUUUUAAAAUUUUGAGUUUUCAGGUCUAAAAUGGUUCAUCCCCUUUUGUGGUUGCAGUUUUACUGAUCUGGACACACCACCUUCUCAGGUCUAAAAUUUUGAGUUUUCAGGUCUAAAAUGUAACUGAUGUAAAGAUUUGUCCAUCCCUUGACAGAAUCCGACUUUUUUUCCAGCUGGUGCACUGAGGGAGGCGUUUGAUGUAGCAACUGAAUGAAGAGCUCAAGGGAGCAAAAGGAACAAGGAGAAAGGAGCGCUCAAGAGAAGUGAACUCAAAAUCCAAGAUGCAAUCUUCACAUAGCUCACAAAUAUUAACCAGUAAACACUACUUGAUUCGUGAUGGCAUUGGACCAGACACACAACAUCCAGUUCUAUAAUAAGUAUAUUCGUGAUUGCAUUGGACCAGACACACGGAGAUGCUCGCUUGUCGUCGAGGAGUGUAGCUUGUAAUCGAAGUUGGCGCUACAAAGCUUGUUCUCAAAACCGACAACCAACUUAUGGCGCAGGUUAUUAACUCAGAUGUUAUCGACCGAUCCAGGUUUGGUCCUCUUGUCUAGGAGAUAAAGAAGAUGAUGUGAGGCAUCGACGAGUUCUGAGUGGCUUGGGCCAGGAGAAUAGCAAACAAAGCUGCUCAGAUCUUAGCUAGGGAGGGUUGCCUUUUAAAUUUAUGCAAAACUUGGUUUAGUGUUUCUACAGAUUGUAUUCAAGAUGUUGUACUGGCGGAUAAUGCCAUGAACUAAAUAAUAACAAGGCAUCAAUUUCCUUUAAAAAGUAUGUUAUCUUAUAGCAGGUGCAUCGUAUCAAAGAUACAUAUUUCAUGCAAUUAAUGUUGAACCACUAGAAUAC
rnacentral:rRNA from 1 species